CUUUAUUUAUCUUGACUUUUAUUGCUUUAAUCAGUUCUCAAAGAAGGUUUGAAAUUUCGAUAAAAGUAAACUUUCACAAUUUGCGAUCAUACGAAGUAAUGUUGGAAAUUGGCGCGUGUACGCGAACCCCAUAGGUAUGUAUCGAAAGGUCGGUAAAAAUCUUUGCACGAGAGGCUGCAGAGGCAUUCACCGGGCGGGUUUCAACAGCCGACUGCCAACUCGUGAAUGCCCCGAGGUGCACGUGUGAGCAUCGCCUCUCUCCAACGAAGCUCCUCUACAUCCCGCCUCGCGGUCGCCACCGACGUCCAAGAGAAUUCACGAACCGCGUGUGGGUCAAGCCACGACCUACGUCGCACCAGUGCCCUGUAGGUCGCAUCGAAUACGCGUAAACAAGGCAUCGAUUCACUGGGUCAGCUUCCUCGAUCUAUUAACCCUUCAUGGUCGUACGUUGAUCUGAACUUUACAUUUCGUUCCGCUCUUCCUACUUUCGACAGUUAUUCGGUCAUUAAAACGAAAUUAACUUGUUAAUCUUUCGUGAUUCUACGUACAUCUGAACUUUACAUUUCGUUGCAUCUUUUUUUUUCUCAUACAUGAGAUGUACACGUAUGUAGUCUUUUAUACUGAAACUUAAUUCCAUACAAAGGUACGUAUGGCAAUGUAGGUUAUUUGAACGAAAUUGUUCAAUCUAUUAACUUUUUAUGGCUUUACGGUCGACUGAGUUUCAUCUUUCGACUUAUUCUUUUUUCCUUUUUAGAUACAAGAUAUAUGUACUUUUUUAUACUGAAGUUUAAUUGAUUACAAAUACGUCGAUGUAGAUUAUUGAAACGAUAUUGAUGAAUCAAUUAACCUUGCGCAGUUUUGCGUAGAUCUGAACUUUAUGCUUUUUUUUUUAUUCGUUUAACAUAUGAGAAAUGUAUACUCUUCUGUGUCGAAGCUUAAUUCGACACAAUUAUGUCAACGUAGAUUAUUGGAACGAAAUUGGUUAAUCUAUCAACCUUUCGUGGUUCUACCGUGGUUCUACUUUGAUCUGAAUUUUUUAUUCUUUUAUUUCCAACGUAUAAGAUUUAUUCUUUUGUAUCGAAGUUUAAUUUGAUACGAAUAUAUCUUUGCAGGUUAUUGAAAUUACAUUGGUAAAUCUAUUAUUAAUUGACAGAUCUAUUGGUAAAUCUAUUAAUCCUUUGUAGUUCUACGGCAAUGUGAACUUUGGAUGUCUUGUAUCUUUCUUUCCUAUUUUAGUAUAUCCAUAAAACGUAUUUCUUCUGCAUUAAAACUUAAUUCGAUACAGAAAUAUGAAUCACUUGCAAUGUUGCGUCAAGUUGAACUCUGGACAUUGUUUGCCGUAUCACAUUUCCUACUUUCGGAAUGUAAAAUAGUUUUUUGUUGUAUGAAAGUUAAAGCUGAUAGAAGCCUGUAUGUUAUUGAAUCUCGUUUUUUAACAUCUGUCUACGACAGAGGAUUCCAGGAAUUUAUUUAAUAUUUCUUUCGUCACUAUUUCUCUUACCACCAUAAUUGUGCAAUUACAUGUUUAAAGAAAUUGGAAGACUCAUAGAUAAGUUACCUCAACUCUUACUUAUUCAUGCAAUUUUUUGCAUAUCUCUGAUUGAUGUAACGAGCUUCUGUAAAGUAUCUACACUAUUGCGUUUGAGCAAUUUCUGCACAUUAUUUCACUGCUAGAUCAUUAACAGAAGAAAUGAGAAGCAACUGAUAGAAAUUUCUGUAGAUCUUACUGAAGAUCGACAAGCCUGAUAAGAUCGAGAUAAACGAUCGAGUAAAUUGCCGUGUGAUUUUUUCAGUGUUCAUGAGUUUGUAAUUUUCAUUGGGGAAAAGGAACGCGAUGGGCGUGUAAUAGGAAACUGAUUUCGAACCUGGUGGUUGGAUUAAGGGUGAAAGUAAAUUGUUCGUUGGUUUGUCGAAGAAUGUUUAUUCGAAGGGGAAGCCGGCGUCGAUCGCGGUUCUCUCGAUUUACAGGCAUCGUCUGAAUCGCGCUGGAACGUCGAGGUAAAAGGUGAAAUUCCAAACGAGUCUUCUUCAUCGCGAAACAUCCUCGGAACAUUAAUAAGACGGCUCGCAAAAUAGAUACUUCCUCGCUGCGUAAUUCGCAUCCUGCGAGUGAGUCGGAUAGAUUCGGUUCGUUUUAAUAUGCGAGAGAUUAUCCUGACCAUCCUCGAAGUGAAUGUACAAAAAAAAAAAAAAAAAAAAAGAAAAAAAAUGA